rnacentral:lncRNA from 1 species
AUGUCCAUCAGGGUGACCCAGAAGUCCUACAAGGUGUCCAUCUCUGGUCCCCAGGUUUUCAGCAGCUACUCCUACAUGUGUGGGCCUGGAACAACUCCUUGAACUUCUCCUGAAUGGGUAGUAGCAGCAGCUUCUAGGGUGGGCAGGGAACUGGCAUGGGUCUGGGUGGAGACUAUGGUGGGGCCAGUGAUAUGGGGGGUAUCAUAGCCAUCAUGGUGAACCAGAGCCUACUGAGCCCCCUUAAGCCAAAGGUGGACUCCAACAUCCAGGUCACAUACACCCAGGAGAAGGGGCAGAUCAACACCCUCAACAAGUUUACCUCCUUCAUCGACAAGGUAUACUGCUGGAGCAGCAGCAGAAGAUGCUGAAGACCAGUGGAGCCUCCUGUAGCAGCAGAAGACAGCCCAGAGCAACAUGGACAACAUGCUUGAGAGCUACAUCAACAACCUUUGGAGGCAGUGGGACACUCUGGGCCAGGAGAAGCUGAAGCUGGAGACAGAGCUUGGCAACAUGCAGGGGCUGCUGAAGGACUUGAAUAAUAAGUACGAGGGUGACAUCAGUAAACAUACAGAGGUUUAGAAUGAAUUUGUCCUCAUCAAGAAGGAUGUGGAAUGAAACUUGCAUAAACAAGGUAGAGCUAGAAUCUCUCCUGGAAGGGCUGACUGAUGAGAUCAAGUUUCUCAGGCAGGCAGAUGUAUAAAGAGGUUUUCUGUGAGCUGCAUUCCCAGAUCUCAUACACAUCUGUGGUCCUGUCUAUGGACAACAGCCACUCCCUGGAAAUGGACAGCAUCAUUGCUGAGGUCAAGACCCAGUAUGAGGAGAUUGCCAACCAUAGCCUGGCCAAGGCUGAGCGCAUGUACCAGAUCAAGCAUGAGGAGCUGCAGAUGCUGGCUGAGAAGCAUGGGGAUGAGCUGUGUCACACAAAGAUGGACAUCGCUGAGAUGAGCUGUAACAUAGUGGGCUCCAGGCUGAGACUGAGGGCCUCAAAGGCCAGGGGGCUUCCCUGGAAGCUGUCGUCAUGGAGGCCAAGCAGCAUGGGGAGCUGGCUGUUAAGGCCACCAAGCUGUUGGAGCUGGAGGCCAUCCUGCAGUGAGCCAAGCAGGACAUGGCACACAGCUGCAUGAAUACCAGGGGCUGAUGAAUGUCAUGCUGGCCCUGGACAUUGAGAUCGCCACCUACAGGAAGCUGCUGGAGGGAGAGGAGAGCCAGCUGGAGUCUGGGAUGCAGAACAUGAGUAUCCAUACGAAGAUCACCAGUGUCUGCUCAGGUAGGCUGAACUUGGUCUACAGAGGCCUCACAAGCCCUGGCCUUAGCUAUGGCCUGGGCUCCAGCUUUGGCUCUGGCACAGGCUCCUGCUUCUUCAGGAGUACCAGCUCCUCUAGGGCUGUGGUUGUGAAGAAGAUUGAGACCCACGGUGGGAAACUGGCUCUGAGUCGUCUGAUCUCCUGCCCAAG